ACAGAUCAUACAGAUCCAUAAUAAGAGAAAAGGUCCCAGAUUAACACGGAAAACUUUCCAUUUAACUAACAUUUGCACUGGUAAACUUCAUCAAGCAAGACCCUACUUAAUCCCACAUUACCUUCUACUGAAGAGGUUGUGGUCAUUCUCUGGAAAUAUCUGAAUUCAUUCCUACAAGUUAGAGAAACAGCGUUACUCGAAACAUUAUCCCUUGGGCUCGAGCUCUAACGCACCUGACAAACGGAGCGCUGUGGGCAGGGGUGAGGUGUUUUCUCCAGGGCUGGGACUUUGCCCUGGGCGAGGGCGCCGCAGGGCAAAGACCUCACCGGGCAGCAGAAUCCGGGCAGAAAUCAGCAACUGGGCCUCCCUCGCAGCAGAAAAGGGGAAUCCAGUCGGGCCCACCCUUCCUGCCAGCGCAGACCGCAAGUCUGGCCCCAUCCUCUCGCCGGGAGUCGGCCCGGCGCGUCCCGCCCAGGUACCCCGACCGUGGGCAGCCUGCGCCCGUCUGGGUCCCAUCGCCCCGGCCCGGCAGAUACCUGAGCGGUGGCCAGGGCAGGACCCCGUUCUUGCCGAUGCCCAUGUUCUGGGACACAGCGACGAUGCAGUUUAGCGAACCAACCAUGACAGCAGCGGGAGGACCUCCGAGCCCGCUUGUUACAGCAGAACGCGCGGUCAAGUUUGGCGCGAAAUUGUGGCCGCCCCGCCCCCUCGUCCCUAUUUGUGCAGACGAGGCCCCGCCCCCCCGCCCCGGCGCACGCAGGGUCGCAGCGUGCUCGCGCCCGCAGACGCCUGGGAACUGUGGCCGCGGGCUCGCGCUCCCCGCCGGGCCCUGCCGCCGGGCUGCCAUCCUUGCCCUGCCAUGUCUCGCCGGAAGCCUGCGUCGGGCGGCCUCGCUGCCUCCAGCUCAGCCCCUGCGAGGCAAGCGGUUUUGAGCCGAUUCUUCCAGUCUACGGGAAGCCUGAAAUCCACUUCCUCCUCCACAGGUGCAGCGGACCAGGUUGACCCUGGCGCUGCAGCGGCCGCAGCGCCCCCAGCGCCCGCCUUCCCGCCCCAGCUGCCGCCACACGCAGUAGGUUCUGUCUGGGACGGGGCAGGGCCAUCGGGGCUGGGGGGCGGGGCUUGUGGGUAAGGCGGGCGGAGGGUCCCAUGAUAGGGCUGGAGGAGGAAGGGGCGGGCUGAAGAAGGGGAAGGUGGGAAGAGCCCAGCCGGGGCUACAAACUGGGUGAAGCGCUGAGGUUUUAGUACUUCCGUUUGAGGAGAUAGGCAAAGGUUACGCAGGCCUGAGACAGGAACUCAGGUCUCCUGACUCGCAUUCUGAUGAGGGGGCUUGUGGGUAAGGGGUGCGUCUUUUAACCUCCAUCCUUUUUUUUUUUUUCCUUGGUGGUCGAAGAGUUUUACUGAUUUUUUAAAAAAAUGCUGGAUUGGGUGACUAGAAGAAAGCUGCCCUUAGGUCUCCAGUUUUUAAGACUACAACAGCGUGGCUCAAUAUUUGAAAUCACUACGGUUAAAAGCAGUCAUAUUGUGCAGUUCCCCAGUGAACACUUUUUGUAGUUUAGAUUAUAAAGUCUGAAAUACAAUUUGGGUGGAUAAAGUUUCUUAGGAUGGUAUAGAUGUUAAAUUGCAAUGAACAUGUCAAAAAUGAUACUGUUCUUUUAUUACCUAUCUUUUCCCCUCUGUGCCUUUGCUACAUAACUGUUUAUUUCUUAGAGGUAUUUUAUUUAGCAUAUGUAAGUAGGGUGAUUCAAGUUUUAUAAUUAGAGAAAGCUGAAGGCUGAUUGAGUCAAGACAGGUAGCAGCCUUGGUUUCAAUUAAUUCUAAACACGGCUUGAGUUGCUGAGGCUCCUGACUAUCAGACUCUACCUUGUCUUUUAUGGUGUUAAAAACAGUUCACCCAUAGGGUUUUCCAGAGCUAAAAGUGUAGAGGAUUCUUUGAAGAGUGGAUGGCAAGGAACCUUGUCAUUCAGUUGUAAGGUUUAAAUUGCUUCACAUACGUCAGGCCUUCUCAGAAUAGAGAUAACACAUCAUUUUCUAACCUUCCCGAUAUAGACUACAGAAAUUGACAGAAGAAAGAAGAGACCAUUGGAAAAUGAUGGGCCUGUUAAAAAGAAAGUAAAGAAAGUCCAACAAAAGGAAGGAGGAAGUGAUCUGGGAAUGU
rnacentral:lncRNA from 1 species